UAGUGAUUAUCACCUGAAGGAAAUGACUUAUGAAAACAAUUAUGUGACAGUUUUGGAGAAAACAGUGAGACUAUGAGAAUAGAUUAUUUUGAUUCACAAGUGUAACUUUUUUCAUCUGUAUGACCAAAGCUAUUUGUGUCCGGUAUAUAUGGUAAUAAUAAGCAUUCUCUAUGACAUCUUGUAGCCUGUAGCUUUUCUUGCAGGAAACUGGAAACAUGUCAGGAUGCCUUUCUGAACUCUGGCCUUGCUCCUAACUGGAGCCAUUGCACCAGGCUCUGAGAGGCAUUAGCACCAUACCAUUCAGAGGUGAGAAAAUCAAGAACUGUAGAGAAGUUUGGAGGAAGAGCAAGUACAUGGACUUCACAGUGAUGGUUGCAAUCAACGUAAGAAACAGAAGAAUAGAAAUGUGGCCUUGGGGGUAUACCCAGUAAUUUCUCCAAUUCUUCAGAUGUCAGCAGAUCUAUUACAGAUUUUGCAUUUAACAUGUCAGUCUGAUGGGUGUCUGUGACUGACAGAAGUGACUAGGGGUGUGGGGAGUGGCAAGUUACUCGCAGGAGCCAUGAAAACAGUGUAUAAAGUUGGAAUUGGGAGCACUAAGCCUGAAACUCUGUUUUUAUCAUUUUUAGUUCUAUGACUUUCAGCAAGUGUUUUAAAGUUCCCGAGGCUCCAUUUCUUCUGUGUAAGAUGGAGAUAAUAACCAUCUUAAAAGCUUUUAAAGUAGGGCUAAAUGAGUUAAUGACUUGGAAAAGGCCUUGCUUAGUGACUCAGUCCUCAACACUUUGAGAUUGUUUGAGUAAAGGUAGAUAGGAUUUUCUAGGCUGUGGUGAUUUUUCCAUUAUGCUUUUUAGUAUAUAGUUGUCUAGCUCACAUUUAGUGAGCACUUAAUUUGUUUCAUGCAUUGUUUUGUGAGUUUCAUCUUAUGACUUGUUGACUCCUCAAUGACUAUGUGAGGUAGAUCUUUUACUUUCCUUUCACAAGUGAGAACUCUGGGGUCGAGUUUCGUGACAGAGCCCAAAUUUGAACCUGAACAUGUGGCUUGUCCCUGGAGCUUUCUUAACCCUGCUUCUAGAUGGUGAAGUCACUCUAUCCACAUUAGGGCAGAAGGAACAAAAGAAAAUACUAUGUAGUGAGGGGUAAUCUCUACAUACUAAAAAGAUAAACUCAUUUUAACUUAUUCACCCAUUUGGAAAAGGAUUGAAAUGACCAUUUGUCUUAUCUUUGAUUUGUACAUUGUUUCUUUCAAUUUUGAAUAAUUAAUUCUGAUACAGAGUAAAAGUUGUAGUGAUUUCCAAUCAAAUCUUUUCUCUUAAGCUAAGCAGUCUUUCUCAUUUGUUGUUUCCUCUUAUUCUUUUGUGUUUUUGUAUGGGAUCCUGAAAUUGGAUGUGUUUAUUGUGUAGACCACAAAGGAUACCUAGGGAAGGUAAAGCAGCCUUAACGAGAGGAUUAAGCAAGUCAAGAGCCAUAUGUGAUAAUCCACCUCUUCAAAAAAUAGGCAUCCUGGCCUUUAUGAUUGGUUUAUGAUAGAAGACCUCCCUGUUUCACUCACACCAUGCUAAGUUAUGGUUUUCCUUACAAGCCUUAGAAUAUUUAUUUUCUUCUUCUUAGAAAAGCUGGGAUAUUUUUCUCAGGUUUGUUGAUAUCUGCUUGUAUCUGAGUAAAUGGACUCUAGAUCUUUCUGUGCUGAGAGUUUUCUGAAGAAAAUGGAGGCAAAACUGUUUUUAUUUGUUUGUUUUUUUCUUUAGGGCCACACACCUGGCACAUGGAAGUUCCCAGGCUAGAGGUCAGGUUCCCAGCCACAGCCACAGCCACAGCCACAGCCACACCAGAUCCCAGCCACAUUUGCAACUUAUGCUGCAGUUUGCCCCGGCAACACUGGAUCCUUAACCCAUUGAGCAAGGCCAGGAAUCGAACCCAGAUCCUCAUGGAUACUUGUCAGGUUCAUUACUCCUGAGCCACAACAGAAACUCCCAAAAUUGGUUUUGAAUUUUGGGUGCGUGCUUUGUGGAUUAUUUAGAUCAGAGAUUACGCGAUUUAUCAAUUAUCCUAAGAUUUGCAGGGCGAAUACUCCUUCACCCCCUGUUCCUUUAGCCUUCAUUCGUUUUUUGGUUCAAUGGAUUGAUUUUGUUUUUAGAUAUGACAGUGAGACUUAAUGAGAAGGAUAAUGUGGUGGAAUCAGAAGUGACUCCUCUUUCUCUUCUCUUAUUAUUACUGCUUUAUAAUAAUAAUAAUAAUAAUAAUUGGCAGUGAUAGUAGCUGUAACAAAAAUAACUACAGUGUGGUGAUCAUGUUUUACGUGUCACCUGAAUUAUGUAAUAUAAUCAUUAUAUAGUUACCCACAGAAGUAAUAAGUGUAAGGGUUAAGUAGGUAUAUUAUAUCAUCAUUUAAAUGGUGAAGAAGUUGAGGUUAAAUACACUGAAUAAUUCUCCAGUCAGCUAGCAAGUACGUGGCAGAGCUAAAAUCCAAACCCAUGACUGCCUCCUUCCUAUCUCAUAUUCUACUACUGCUAUUACCUCUUCAUU
rnacentral:lncRNA from 1 species